UCAGAUGUGUCUGUAAAACUGGUGACCUUCU
rnacentral:piRNA from 1 species